AUGGCGGGGGUGGGCGUUGGGACGGGGGUGAUGAACUCCCUCCUCGGCAAGCUCACUGCCUUGCUCAGCGACGAGUACAAUCUUCUCAAGAGCGUCCGCAAGGAGAUCCAGUUCCUUGAGCGCGAGCUCAGCGGCAUGCGAGUCCUGCUGGAGAGGCUGGCGGACAUGGAGGAAAAACUCGAUGGCCUGGCAAAAGGCUGGAGAGACAGAGUGCGUGACCUCAGCUACGACAUAGAAGACUGCAUCGACCGCUUCAUGGACCGCCUUGGAAGCGGAGAUGCCAAGCCAAAGUUCAUGAAGAGGACGGCCCGCCGGCUCAAGACUCUGUGGGCGCGCCAUAACAUCGCGACUCAGAUCAAAGAGCUCAAAGCUCGCGUCGUGGAGGAAAGUGAGCGGCGUGACAGGUACAAGCUUGACGAGAGUUGUUACGGUCCAACGAAGACGGUGGAGAUUGACCCACGGAUAACCUCACUUCACGAGGAGGUCAAGGACUUGGUGGCAAUGGACGGCCGAGUGAAGCAAGUUACUGCUUUGUUGAUGGAUGAGAGUAUGGAGCUGAAAGUGUUGCCGAUUGUCGGGUCCGGAGGGUUGGGGAAGACGACCCUGGCCAUGGAGGUGUACCGCAAGAUUGGGGUGGACUUUCAGUGCCGAGGUUUUGUGUCGGUGUCACGUACUCUUGAUCUAGAGAAGCUCUUGAAGGAUAUUUUAUCUCAGAUUGAUAAAGAUGCUUAUGGCAACAGUAACCGUUGGGAAAAAGAACAAUUAAUCCGUGAAACCAAACAGAUCUUGACAGGAAAGAGGUACUUCAUUGUUAUUGAUGAUGUAUGGAAAGAACAAGAUUGGAAACUAGUCAAGGCAGCAUUUCCUGAGAAUAACAAUGGUAGCAGAAUAAUUGCUACUACACGCAUUACCGGUGUAGCUAAUCAGUGUUGUUCCAACUCCGGCGGUCAACCCUAUCAAAUGGUACCUCUAGAUGAUGAUGCUUCUCGAAAGUUGUUCUUGAAGAGAAUUUUCUCCUCGGAUGAUCCCUGUCCUUCUGAACUAGAAGAAGUUUCUACUGGGAUCUUAAGAAAAUGUGGCGGCCUGCCACUGGCUAUAAGUACAUUUGCAAGUUUGCUUGCCAAUAAGCCACAUAAGAAGGAUGAAUGGGAGAGACUGCAAGAUUCCAUUGGUACUGGUCCUUCGCUUGAUAAUGAUGGGAACUUAAAAGUGAUGAAAGAUAUAUUAUUACUUAGUUACUGGGAUCUUCCACAUCAUUUGAAGACUUGCUUGUUGUACUUGUCUAUAUAUCCAGAGGACCACAAGAUCAAGUGUAAAGAACUGAAAUGGAAAUGGAUGGCCGAAGGAUUCCUUGAUAGACAAUGGGGACGUUUGGAUGAGGUAGCAGAGAACUGUAUCAAUGAACUUGUCAAUAGAAAUAUGAUCCAAUCAGUUGAUGUUCAUUUCAAUGGUACAGUGAAAUAUUGUCGAGUCCAUGAUAUGGUGCUUGACCUUAUCAUAUCUUUAUCAGAUGAAGAGAAUUUUGCCACUGUUUUAAAUGGGCGUGUAUGCAAUCAAUUUCCAAACAAGAUUCGACGUCUGUCCAUGCAAUUUAGUGGCAAAGAGAAUAAUGGCGCAGUCUUUGCAAUUAAAGAAACCAAGAUAUAUGUUCGCUCACUGACUACCUUUUCGCAAUUUGGGCAGAUGCCCCACAUUGUCCUUGUGGACUUCCAUGCUUUGCGGGUGUUGGAUCUUGCAAGAUGUUAUUGGUUGAAAAACAAGGAUGUAAAACAUAUAGGAAGCUCGCGUCAGCUGAGGUAUUUGAGAAUUCGCAGUGGGGAAAUUACUGAGCUUCCUGAUGAAAUAGGAAAGCUGCAGCACUUAGAGACUCUGGAUUUGAGAUACUGUUAUUUUCUUCUAAGACUGCCAUCAACCGUGGCGCAGUUGCGGAAAUUGGUGCGCCUAUUUGUCAGCUAUGGAACACAAUUACCUGCAAGUGGGUUCUGGAGUCUGCAAGCCUUGGAGGAGUUACGCGUCCGCGAAACUGACGACCCAGUGAGAUUUGCGGAGGAAGUAAAUGAGUCGGGCAAAUGCAACCUUCGCUAUCUUCAUACUAGUGAACAGAUAGCCGAGCGUCUGUUCUGUAACCCAUGCUGCACAUACCCUUACCUCCAAGUUCUUAAAAUUCAGUGUGGUUUUGGAAUGGUUCCCAGGGGAAUGGCCUCCCUCAAGAAUCUCGUGAAACUAUGCAUAAAUGUCAAGGAAUUUGAUUAUGAGGGUCUCCAAGUUCUCAUGGGCAUGCCUUCUCUGGCCAAUCUGGAGCUUGACAUAAUAAGAGUUGCCAUUAAUGAAAAGCUGAUCAUCGAUAGUGAUGGAUUCAAACUGCUAAAGGUCUUCCGCUUCCACUAUACACUCUUUCCAAAUGGUAUUGAAGUGAAACCAACGGGUGGACUGCAGCUAGCAUUUGCACCAGGUGCCAUGCCAGCACUCCGUUGUCUCCGUCUUGACUUGAGCCCAAUGAUUGUGGCGUCCAACUUUUUUGCAGACUUGGUUGUCGAGCAUCUUCCGGGCCUUGCACAGCUCGAGGUCGAAAUCGAUUGUUACGAAGCAGCUCCAGGCAGGGUGAAGGCUAUGGAGUGUUCCAUUGAAAAAGCAACCAACUUGCUCCCCAAGUGCAGAAUCCGUGUCAGGAAAGCCUUUGAACGUCUCAUGUUUAAGGAUGACGAGGAGUGGGAAGAUGUCGUCACAAAAAGAAUCUCAGCGAAGAAGGGAGACCAGAAGAAUGAGAGAGUGACCACCAAGAACUAG
rnacentral:rRNA from 1 species